UUGUAAAGAAAAUCCUAAGAAUCUAAUUACUAAGCUACUAUGAAUUUUCAAAAGCCUCCUUUUAAUUAAGCUUAAGAGUUAACAUUUAUAGAACUAAUGAUGUUUGACCUAAUUAGGGCGACUAUGCCCUGAAUUAGGGGUGAGCAUUCGAUCGAAUCGAAUCUAAUCAAAAAUUUUCAAGUUAAUCGAGUUUUCGAAUCUCAUUUUAUCAUCCUAACUUUAUUUGAAGUUUUCUCGAAUCGAGUCGAGUAGAUGGAAUUCGAAUCGAAUCGAAUCGAAUAUAUUUGUUCGAGUCAAAUUUUAAAAAAUAAUUUUGGGUCCUUAUAACCAUUGUCACCCAUCGUAAUAAAAUUUGUCCACCUUAAUCAAAUUUUUUAUUAACUUUCAUCACUUCAUAAUUUAUUUAUUAAUUUUUUAUAUACUGGUUAGCCUUUUUGCUUGCUUAGUUGUUUCAAUUAUCUUCAGAUUCUUGUCACUAUGUAUUUUAGAAUUAAAAAAUAUAUUAAAUGUAAAAAUAUAAUUUUUUAAUAAAAGUUAUUUUAAAAAUAAAAUAUGAAAUUGAUACCAAUAUAAAAUUUUAACACGAAUAUUUUAUGGCAUAAUUAAUAAUUUAAUUUUAAUAUAAAUAUUCAAUAUGACUAAACAAUUCAAUAAUAAAAAUAAUAUAAAAUGUGAAAUUUAAUUUAAUAAUAUAAAUAAUAGAUAUAAAUAAAAUUAUUACUAUUUAUGUUUAGUGAUUUUUUUGGAUAAUUUUGAUUUUUUAUUUGAGAGUAAAGGGUGAGAAGUAAAAGUUUAGGGGAAAAAUAAAAAGUUUUGGGGAAUAAAAGUUUGAGGGAAAGUAAAUAGGGAGAGUAAAAUUUUGGAGGGAAAAUAUUAAAAAAAAUUGGAAGGGGGAGGGUUUGGGAUAGAUGGGAGGUGGGAUGGGAAGGGAAUAAAAGUUUUAGGGGAAAAGUUGGAGGGGGUAAUAAUUUUGGGGGAAAAUAAAAGGUUUUAAGGGUUUUGGUGAGUAAAAUUUUGAAAAAAAAUAAAUGGGAGAGUAAAAUUUUGGUAGGAAAUGGAUUUUGGGUAGAUUGGGGGGUUGGGAGGGGAGGGGAGUAAAAGUUUUGAGGGAAAAGUAAAAAGGUUAGGGAGUUUGGGGUAAAAAUGUAAAAUAUUAUAGUUUGAUAUUCGAAUUAUUCGAAUUAUUCGAAUUAUUCGAAUUCGAAAACUCAACUCGAUUCGAACUCGAAAUUUGAAAAAAAAUUCGAGUUGAUUCGAAUAACUCGAUUAACUCGAAUAACUCAAUUCGUUUAACUCGAAAUUCGAAUUUUUUUUCGAUUUUUUCGAGUCGAAUCGAGUUUUGCUCACCCCUACCCUGAAUUACGAGUAAAAAUUGAUUGUGCAGAUGGAAACACUUUUGCAUAUUUUAAGUCCAUCGAGCCUCAAUGUCGAGUCAUCACAUGUCCAAUGUUGCGACUUUCUAGGCAGUUUGCUCGAGUCUUUGAAUAGGGACUUGGGUAUCGCAACUUUACUCCUCAAUGUCGUGACUUUGCUACAACCUUGUAAUUGACUUUCAUCUUUCGCUACUGUCAUGGAUGUCGUGACUUCAAGUGUUGAAUGUUGUGACUUUAGCUUCCAAUGUCGUGACCUUGGUAACGGUCUGCUUGUCUUGUCGAUGUUGCUCGAAAAUCCUUCUAAGUGUGUAUGUAACGUCAAUGUUGCGACUUUAUGUUCUCCAUGUCCCGACUUUCUAGGCAAUCCACUAGCUCUUUUUCUAUUUGGUUCAAGUCGUUUCUUGCCCCACUACAUCAACUCGUUAAAACUUCAUUAGGCUUGAGUUGGCCUAAUUGGUCGAUAAACAUCAUAAAAAGGCUUGUUUUAUUUAAUUACGUAUAACUAAUAUAUAAUUCAUAAAGCUACUAAAAUGACAUAAAAAUGCUCGAUUACAAGCUUCUUAAGUAUCGAAAAGAACGUAAUUUACCAUAUUAAAUUAUGGCAGAUCAAAUUCUCCCACACUAAGUCUUUGCUUGUCCUCAAACAAACACAUAAGCCAACAAACAACAAGCAAAAUAUGACGACCUUUGAGCAUGCUUAAUGAAGAGAUUUGAUUAAAGAUAUAGACAAAAAGAAUGACUCUUCUAUCGUACAAUUUCGAUAUGAUACUUAGAGAAUUCACAACUUUUAAAAGUGAUCGUUCAAAGAACUACAACAUGAACAAGUUUAAAGAUGAUCAUAUAUAUUCUCUAUUUAUCAUACUACUAAUCCAUCAAAAUUCAUUAUACAGAUGUAACAUUAUAGCAAAUGAACAUAAAGCAAUCAUUUCUCAUACAAAUAACAAGACAAUCAUACAAUAUUUUAUAAGCACAAUUUUGAAUAUAAAAUUUUAUUGUUUUUUUUUUUUUACAAAAAAAUUUAUUGUAUCAUUGAUUUGAAAUAGAUCAUGAGAAACUUGUAAUGUGACUAAAUGAAUCUAGAAUGUUGUAUACUUACUCUACUUUAAUUUUCUAGCUAUUAUAUAUAGCUAAUAGUUUUUUAAUAGACAACUCUUGAUAUCAUGAAUAGGGGUGAGCAAUCAGUCGAAUCGAAUCGAAUGAAAAAAUUUCGAGUUAAUCAAGUUUUCGAAUCUUAUUUUAUCAUCCUAACUCGAUUUGAAAUUUUCUCGAAUCAGAUCGAGUUAGAUGAAAUUUGAAUUGAAUUGAAUCGAAUUGAAUCGAAUAUAUUUGUUCAAGUUAAAUUAAAAAAAUAAUUUUUUUUAUUUUUAAUGUAUUUUUUAAAAAAUAUUUUUCUUUAAAGUUUUUAAAUAUAAUCAUAAAAUGAAAAUUUGUUAGGGAACAAAUAAAAGCAACACAACAUGAGUCCAAGUGAACAACAACACAAUAAGAUUAUAAUAAAAAAAUAUAAGCAAAAGUCAAAAAAAAAAAAAAAAAAAAAAAAAAAACUAAACCAACUCAAAUUCUUGAUUCUCCACACAAUUGAGUCAGCCGAAUUGAAACGAUGUGUUGCUGGAAACAUUGCAUGUCUCUAUCAGUCAAACAAAUAAAUAAAACAUUCCAUAUCUUACUGUUAUAUUCUGUUCCUAAGAAGAAAAUCAAAUGAGAACUUUCCAUUGAAGUGUUGUUCUAUUUUUCCAAUUCCAUUCAAUUCAAACGCCAACUACGUAAACCAUUUCCCUGUUUCAAUAUAACCAAUUAACCAUAGAAUCGAGUGCUAUGAUUGCUUUUAAGAUGGCAUUUUAUUAAUAGUGUUUUAAAUAGUAAAUUAAAAAAAAACACUCAUAACCCAAAAAUAUGCAGCAGCAGUAAUAUUUUAAUUUAAUCUCACAGUAAUAUAUGCAACAACAACCGUUAUAUUUUUAUAUAAAAAAAAUUAACUUAUAACCUAAAAUAUGUAGCAGCAGAUUACUUUAAUCCCACAAUCAUAUAUACAGCAACAGUUAUCUCGGGACAAACCUGGGAGAUGCAAAAAAGUAUAGGUUAAGACUGAAGAGAACGGAGCGCCGCCGGCCAGAAGGAACACCACUUACGGAGCGAGCGGAGAUUGUGAGGGAUUUGCCCAUCCUAAAAAAGUUCGAUGAACUGAUGAAGAAGAAGAAUGGAGAUAGAGAUUUUAAUUUAGAAGGUUUGAAUGAACCAAUGAAGAAGAAUAAGAAGAAUGAAGGGUUUAAUAUAAAGAUUUUUUAAGAAGCGGGGGAUUUAAUUUAGGAAUUUUUGAAGGAGAAGCAUGAAUUUGGGGGUCUGAAUGGAUUAAGGGUUUGAUUUGGGAAAUUUUGAGAAAAUUGUGGGGCUUGCCGACCGGGGGAAUAGGGUAAAAGAGUUGGGGUUAAUACAAUAUAAAUUUAAAAUUUAAAAUAAUAUAAAUUAAUAUUCGAUUUAUUUAAAUUAUACUCGAAAAAAAAUUUAACUGAUUUAAUUAAUUUAAUUUGAAUAAUUUGAAUUUUGAAUUUUUUUUAGGAUGAAUUGAGUUGUG
rnacentral:lncRNA from 1 species